CCCUCCGCGCAGGCCUCCGGGGGGCCGGGGCUUACCAUGUAGGGGAGGGGAGAUCUAUCCACAUACCUCAGGUGGCCAUGGUGGAGGUGCAGCUGGAGAGUGACCACGAGUACCCACCAGGCCUGCUGGUGGCCUUCAGUGCCUGCACCACCGUGCUGGUGGCUGUGCACCUCUUUGCACUCAUGGUCUCCACGUGUCUGCUGCCCCACAUUGAAGCUGUGAGCAACAUCCACAACCUCAACUCUGUCCACCAGUCGCCACACCAGAGACUGCACCGCUACGUGGAGCUGGCCUGGGGCUUCUCCACUGCCCUGGGCACCUUUCUCUUCCUUGCUGAAGUUGUCCUGAGAUAAGGAAACAGGCCCAAGAAGGCUGAAGAUCUUGCCCAAAACCACACAGCUAGUCCAUGAAACUGAACUUGGACUAUCUACCCCUCACACGGGAAUCUCUCUUUGAUUUGAGAAAAGGAACCAGUGCCUUUCAACUGGAACAGAAAGGAAUCUGAUCUCAACACCUAUGCCUCCACGUAAAUUAUUUUUUUCAGCCUUAUUUCCCUCAAAAUUGUAGAGUCCUAAUCUUCUUCUAUCUUGUGGUGUGAGACCUUGGAUAAGUCUCCCUUCCACCUUUUCCUAUUACUUAAAAUGGUGAAUUUGCAUAAA
rnacentral:lncRNA from 1 species